GCUGUAUGUCCCACCUACGUGCUCUGAGUUUGCUGCUAUGUGUGGAGGUAGUCGCGUGCUGGCAGGAGAAAAGAGAGACUGAAGCUUUUGAGCUGGAAAAAAAGUAUUAGAUAUAAGUUGCAACCAACUGUGUUGCACAUAAGUUCACUGGUUAUCAGCUACCUUUCAUGUUAAAAGUAGCCACAGUGAGUAAGCAGGCAAAUGCUGCAUUUUUCUGGUGACUUUAAAAAGUACCGCGUGGAGCUAAACUGUUAGCCUUUGUUAGCUCUGGUUGCUAUCAACUGCCUGGAAGUUCAUCUCAAUCUGCUUCCAGAAGUAAGGUAACACUUGAAGCGCAACUUAUGUUUAUUUUUCCUUCAUGUCGUAUUACGGUUAUUAAAGAGAAAACAUGUCCUGUUACGUUAUUUAGAGCCCUGCAUUUUCCGACCGAGAGACACUAUGCCAUUGUCUUCAGCCGUGAUGCGCUGAGAUCGGUGAGCACAUGUUGUAUGUCUCAGUUAGUUCAUGUCUGUUUCACAUUUUAUCGUUGAGAAACUGAAUUAAUCUCAAUUGUUUGAUUAAUAAUUGUCGCAUAUGCGACAUAUAUGCAUAUGCACUGACUUUACUUGGUUUAAUGCAUAUUUAUGUAAGAGAGAUGUUUUAUUUUUGCAAAAUUGAGUAUUUUUAUUGCAAAUUUAUGUUGAAUGUGAUUUAAACAAAAUCCUAAGUUGUGAAUUAUAGCUAGAACAGCAUAAUUAAUAUUUGAAUUGCUCUUCUGACCCUGUCUGUUGACAGGUCAGGUUUUUUUUGUAUGCUGAAUUGUUCCUGAGGUGGAUUCCUCCGGUGAAAUAGAUGGCGAGCCUUCCCACCUGGACUUAGAGAGACUGAGAUUCGCUUCUUUUCCACUUGAUGAUCUGCUGCACCUUGCGGUGUGGUAGGACUGUAUCACUCACACUUUCACGCACAGCUGGUUAUACAUAAGACCACU
ensembl:lncRNA